rnacentral:sRNA from 2 species
AUUCUACCCAUGUGGGGAAGGAUGAGAAGCUUCGACUAAGGUUCGAUUCGAGCGUAGCGAGAAAGCGUUGCCGCAGGCAACGACCCGAAGGGCGAAGCGCGCAGCGCUGAGUCAUCCUUCCCCCACCACCA